rnacentral:rRNA from 1 species
UGCCGGCGAGCGGCGGACGGGUGAGUAAUGUCUGGGAAACUGCCUGAUGGAGGGGGAUAACUACUGGAAACGGUAGCUAAUACCGCAUGACCUCGCAAGAGCAAAGUGGGGGACCUUCGGGCCUCACGCCAUCGGAUGUGCCCAGAUGGGAUUAGCUAGUAGGUGGGGUAAUGGCUCACCUAGGCGACGAUCCCUAGCUGGUCUGAGAGGAUGACCAGCCACACUGGAACUGAGACACGGUCCAGACUCCUACGGGAGGCAGCAGUGGGGAAUAUUGGACAAUGGGCGAAAGCCUGAUCCAGCCAUGCCGCGUGUGUGAAGAAGGUCUUCGGAUUGUAAAGCACUUUAAGUUGGGAGGAAGGGCAGUUACCUAAUACGUGAUUGUUUUGACGUUACCGACAGAAUAAGCACCGGCUAACUCUGUGCCAGCAGCCGCGGUAAUACAGAGGGUGCAAGCGUUAAUCGGAAUUACUGGGCGUAAAGCGCGCGUAGGUGGUUUGUUAAGUUGGAUGUGAAAUCCCCGGGCUCAACCUGGGA